AUGGAGAACUGCAGCUGUGGGCAAGCGGUGGACACGGCGCCCUCCAGGAGUCUUGCAGUUCCCCUGCAGUCCUGGUACUGUUGCUUUGGGGUGCUCCCUGGACCCACAGGUGGCAGAGCAACAUACGCAUUAUCACAGACAAGAACUGGAGAAAGCUGCUGGAAGGAGACUGGAUGAUAGAAUUUUAUGCCCCGUGGUGCCCUGCUUGUCAAAACCUUCAACUGGAAUGGGAAAGUUUUGCUGAAUGGGGAGAAGAUCUGAGGUUAAUGUUGUGAAAGUAGAUGUCACAGAGCAGCCAGGACUGACUGGACAGUUUACAAUAACUGCUCUUCCUAUUAUUUAUCAUUGUAAAGAUGGUGAAUUUAGGCAUCCUCAGGGUCCAAGGACCAAGAAGGACUUCAUAAACUUUAUAAGUGAUAAAGAGUGGAAGAGUAUUGAACCUGUUUCAUCAUGGUUUGGUCCAGGUUCUGUUCAGAUGAGUAGUAUGUCAGCACUCUUUCAGCUAUCUCUGUGGAUCAGGACUUGCCAUAACUACUUUAUUGAAGACCUUGAAUUGCCAGUGUGGGGAUCAUACACUGUUUUUCCUUUAGCAACUCUGCACUCUGGACUGUUACUAGGACUCUGUAUGAUAUUUGCGGCAGAUUGCCUUUGUCCUUCAGAAAGGCACAGACCACAGCUAUACCCUUCAAAAAAAUUAUUAUCAGAAUCUGCUCAACCUUUGAAAAAACUGGAGGAAGAACAAGAGGUGGAUAAAGAAGAUGUUUCAGAAGAAGCCAAAAGUAAAGAAGGAACAAAGACUUUCCACAGAAUGCCAUAAGACAAUACUCUCUCGGUCCAUCACUGGCCACAGAUAAAUCCUAAAUUGUAUAGUUAUCUUAAUAUCAUGAUUUUGAUAAAAACAGAAGACUGAUUAUUUCUUUUGGUUUGAAGUGAACUGUGACUUGCUUGUAUAUUACAGGGUUCAGUCUAGACUGACAUUAAAUUGAAGACUCUACAUUCAGAACAUAAAAACACUAGGUAUGUAAGUUUGAAAUACGAUUUAAGGACAGUAUGGUGGUUUAACUAGUUCUCUAAUUUUUGAAAAAUCAUGCCAAACAAUAAGAUUUAUGUAUAUUUGUUUAAUAAUAACCUGUUUCAAGUCUGAGUUUUGAAAAUUUACAUUUCCCAAGUAUUGCAUUAUUGGGGUAUUUAAGAUUAUUUUAGAGAAAAAUAUUUCUCAUUUGAUAUAAUUUUUCUCAGUUUCAUGUGUGUGAAAAAAGGAAGGUAUUUCCCAUAAAUGGGAACUUUGCCCGCUGUCUCAAGAAACAUAUCUUUCAGUGACAAUUCCGUGGUCUUUUUAGAGAUAUAUUCCAAAAUUUCCUCGUAUUUUUAGGUUAUGCAACUAAUAAAAACUACCUUACAUUAAUUAGUAGCAGUUUUCUACACAUGGUAAUAUAGGAUAAGCUACUGAUUUAGGAAGUUUUUAAGUCCAUGGUAUGCUGUUGAUUCCAAUAAAGGUUGAUUUUCUCUUGUAUUUUUCUUAUUUACUGUGGGUUACAUUUUUUUAUUUUUCAAAUUGGAUAAUAUCCUGGAAGUAUUUUUUAUGUUUUAGUAAACAGUAUUUUUUGUCGUUGUUUCAAACUGAAGUUUACUGAGAGAUCCAUCAAAUUGAACUGUCUGUUGAUAACUUAAAAUUUUGGCCAUUCAUUUCAGAUUUUAAAUCAUUCUUGCUGAACUACUUGAAAUUGUUUUUUAAAAUUUUUCUUUUUGGAUGUGAAGGUGAACGUUCCUGAUUUUUGUCUGAUGUGGAAAAGCCCUGGUAUUUUACAUUUUGAAAAUUCACAGAAGCUUAAUAAAAACAAAGUUUGCAUUCUAUUCAGGAAAAAGCAUCUUCUUGUAUAUGUUUUAAAUGUAUCUUUGGCCUCAUAUACAGAAAGUUCUUAAUUAAUUUUACAGUCUGUAAUGCUUGAUGUUUCAAAAUCAUUAUAUAUAUUUAUUAUUAUUAUUAUUAUUA